rnacentral:rRNA from 1 species
GUCUACGGCCAUACCACCAUUAACGCGCCCGAUCCUGUCUGAUCUCAGAAGCUAAGCAGGGUCGGGCCUGGUUAGUACUUGGGCGGAGAGAAAGUCAUUGGACC